UACGGAGGGUGCGAGCGUUGUCCGGAAUCACUGGGCGUAAAGGGCGCGUAGGUGGCUUGGCAAGCGUGUGGUGAAAGCCCGGGGCUCAACCCCGGGUCUGCCGUGCGAACUGCUAUGGCUUGAGCACUGUAGAGGCAGGUAGAAUUCCGGGUGUAGCGGUGGAAUGCGUAGAUAUCGGGAGGAACAUCAGUGGCGAAGGCGGCUACCUGGCCCAAUACUGACACUCAGGUGCGACAGCGUGGGGAGCAAACAGG
rnacentral:rRNA from 1 species